AGAUAAGAGGAUAGAGGAAAUAUGUAUUAGUCCAGUCAUUUCUAUGAAACAGACCAUCAAGAAAGCAGGACAUAAUGAACAUUUAGAAAGAAAGCAGCUGAAAAUCUGACUGGAAGAGAAUGGAUGGAAUAACAGAUGAGCACGAACAAGGCAUUAACCUUUCUGAGCUUCCUAAACUGAGACUUGUCCUGAUCGGAGUGACAGAAUCUGGAAAAAGUGCUGUUGGCAAUGCCAUUCUGGGCAAGAAAGCCUUUGAUGAGGUCGGGGUGAAGACACGAGUGUGUUUUGCACGUCAGGGUCUGGUGAGAGGACGCCAGGUGCAAGUGGUGGACACUCCAGGUUGGGAAUGGUUCAAAGUCAAUGGCUCCUCUACAUCACUAUGGUUCGUAAAGAAAGAGAUGAUGAUGAGUAUGAGUCUGUGCCAGCCUGGUGCCCAUGCUCUGCUGCUGGUGGUGCCACUGUCAUUCUCCUUCUCCCAGCGUGAGCGGCAUGCCGUGGAAGAACACAUAGAGCUGUUUGGUCAAGAAGCUUGGAGACACAGCUUGGUGCUCUUCACCAUCUUAGACAGAAAGCAAUUGCGUGGUUCCAGCCUAAAGCAAGAAGUAGAGUUGAAUGUGGAGCUGUAUAAGCUGGUUGAGAAAUGUGGAGGCCGUUUCCAUGCUUUGUACAGCAAUCCCAAAGCGGGUGAGGACCAGGUGGCUGAUCUUCUGGCUAAGAUCACGAAAAUGAUGGAGACCAAUGGAGAGACAAUGAUCUCAAGUAAAAAUGUGUUGGAAAAGGUUAAAGAAAUGGAGAAAGAAGAGGAGAGAAAACUGGAGGAAGAGCGAAAGUUGAAGGAAGAGAACCUACAGAAAGUACGAGAAGCACUGAAGGCAAAGGAGUUAAGAAGGUCAAGGAGGAGAAUGGAACAACAGACACUGGAUGGUGUGGAGCAGAAAGGAUGGGCUGGGGACAAUCAGAGCAACAAGAUUCCUCUCGAUGAAGGCGGAAGUAACUCUCUUCUGAGCUGCAAACAACAGUGAAAGCUGGAAAAGGAAAAGAUUGAAAAAGUACUCUUGCAACUUUCACAACUCACCGCCAGAGGCCGUCAUUACUUCAAAUAUGUAACUGAUACAGUUAACACAGCGUUAACUUGACAACAAAACUAACGUUAUAUUAUUUUGUGAGCGACACGCGUUUAUUGUUGGUACAUUGAUCCGAUGAUUAAUGAUUUGUGGGUCAUUCCUGCCAUUCGAUAAUAUUUCAGCUUGAGCAAACUUAAUUUUUAAAAGUGUAUUGAUUAUAUUUUAAUAAAUAACCUACAUAAUUAGGCACAAUUUAAAUAAAUUUUUUUAAAAAUCAUGUUUUCCCAGCUCAGGCAUUAAAGCCUUUAUUUUCUGUUUUAUUCUUAUUUGGACACCCUUUAUUCUCAACCUCGUAACGGACAAAACUGAAUUGUUAAUAAUAGUAUUUUACAAAGCUUUUGCUAUAAAAACCCACAUUUACCUAUUGCUCAUAUGUCAAAUAAAUGUAAUGGCUAAAAUAUACCAUUUUUAAGUUUUAGAUUUAAAUUUGAUUUAAGUUACAAUUAUACAAUUUAUGCAUUCUUUGGUCCCUUAAUUUUUUUAAAAAAGUUUUAAAUUUAGAUGUCUUACCCAACUGUCACCUCACAGCAAGAAGGGGUUAGUUGGCGU
rnacentral:lncRNA from 1 species